GAUGAACGCUGGCGGCGUGCUUAACACAUGCAAGUCGAACGAGAAGUGAAGACGGAAACCUUCGGGCGGAAGGCUUUAUUUCGAGUGGCGGACGGGUGAGUAACGCGUGGGUGACCUGCCUCAUACAGGGGGAUAACAGUUGGAAACGACUGUUAAUACCGCAUAAGACCACAGCACCGCAUGGUGCGGGGGUAAAAACUCCGGUGGUAUGAGAUGGACCCGCGUUCGAUUAGCCAGUUGGCGGGGUAACGGCCCACCAAAGCGACGAUCGAUAGCCGAUCUGAGAGGAUGACCGGCCACAUUGGGACUGAGACACGGCCCAAACUCCUACGGGAGGCAGCAGUGGGGAAUAUUGCACAAUGGGGGAAACCCUGAUGCAGCGACGCCGCGUGAGUGAAGAAGUAUUUCGGUAUGUAAAGCUCUAUCAGCAGGGAAGAAAAUGACGGUACCUGAGUAAGAAGCCCCGGCUAACUACGUG
rnacentral:rRNA from 1 species